CAAUCAAAGUAGGCUCCUAUAUCGAUUUGCUGUGUAGUCAAGAUAAAAUAUAAUAAUAAUAUCAAGUUUGAACGCUUUAUAAACAUAAUGGAGAGUGCAAUUACUGAAUUAUGCGCCAUUUGCCGAAUGAGCUUGACGAAUGCGGUAAAACUUAAUUGUAAACACACUUUUUGCGAAGAGUGUGUAAAUAUUUAUCUUUUCCACAACCAACUCAAUCCCCGCUGUCCGCUUUGUCGCUCACGAUUAUUCUAUUAUGAGCAUGUAAAUGAAGAAAAGCUAGGACGAGUUUUUCUUGACUAUUAUUCAAGUGAUUCCAGUGAUUCCAAUGAUUAAAGCGAUAUCGAAAAAGUUAAGCAUCCAUUAUACGAUGCUGGCUGCUGAUGAAAACAAUAGCAGCUGCAUAAGAAAAUUGGCGAGACAAUAUAUUCUUGUUUCUCUUCUUUUAAGUAAUUUCUUUUCUUUUCAUUUCAUUUUAUUUAUUAUUUAGAUUGUAAAUAAAAGAAGAGAGAAAAAAUUGUAUUUUUUAUUUAAUUUGUAUCUUCC